rnacentral:rRNA from 1 species
CCUACGGGGGGCUGCAGUGGGGAAUAUUGCACAAUGGGCGCAAGCCUGAUGCAGCCAUGCCGCGUGUGUGAAGAAGGCCUUCGGGUUGUAAAGCACUUUCAGCGGGGAGGAUGGCGUUAAGGUUAAUAACCUUGGCGAUUGACGUUACCCGCAGAAGAAGCACCGGCUAACUCCGUGCCAGCAGCCGCGGUAAUACGGAGGGUGCAAGCGUUAAUCGGAAUUACUGGCGUAAAGCGCACGCAGGCGGUCUGUCAAGUCGGAUGUGAAAUCCCCGGGCUCAACCUGGGAACUGCAUUCGAAACUGGCAGGCUAGAGUCUUGUAGAGGGGGGUAGAAUUCCAGGUGUAGCGGUGAAAUGCGUAGAGAUCUGGAGGAAUACCGGUGGCGAAGGCGGCCCCCUGGACAAAGACUGACGCUCAGGUGCGAAAGCGUGGGGAGCAAACAGGAUUAGAUACCCGGGUAGUC